UGCAAGUCGAACGGAGGUUCGCCACGCGGNAUCUCUUCGGAANAGAAGCGUGGCCAUACCUCAGUGGCGAACGGGUGAGUAACACGUGGGUAACCUGCCUGUAAGUCGGGGAUAACUGCGGGAAACCGCAGCUAAUACCGGAUAAGUCGGGAGGUUCGCAUGAACCUUUCGGUAAAGGAGCUACGGUUCCGCUUACAGAUGGGCCCGCGGCGCAUUAGCUAGUUGGUGGGGUAACGGCCUACCAAGGCGACGAUGCGUAGCCGACCUGAGAGGGUGACCGGCCACACUGGGACUGAGACACGGCCCAGACUCCUACGGGAGGCAGCAGUAGGGAAUCUUCCGCAAUGGGCGAAAGCCUGACGGAGCAACGCCGCGUGAGCGAGGAAGGUCUUCGGAUCGUAAAGCUCUGUUGCCAGGGAAGAAAAGGCGCUUGUUGACUGCAGGCGCAUUGACGGUACCUGAGACAGAAAGCCCCGGCUAACUACGUGCCAGCAGCCGCGGUAAUACGUAGGGGGCAAGCGUUGUCCGGAAUUAUUGGGCGUAAAGCGCGCGUAGGCGGCCCUUUAAGUCUCGUGUUUAAACCCGGAGCUCAACUUCGGGUCGCACGGGAAACUGGGGGGCUUGAGUGCAGGAGAGGGAAGCGGAAUUCCACGUGUAGCGGUGAAAUGCGUAGAGAUGUGGAGGAACACCAGUGGCGAAGGCGGCUUCCUGGUCUGUA
rnacentral:rRNA from 1 species